rnacentral:snoRNA from 1 species
AUCCCAUGAGGAGGACAGGCAGCCACGUACUCCUGGAAUCGUUCCCAUGCUUCGGGUAUUGACUCGUCCCUUAUCUGCUAGAAUCCUGAAAUUCUCCUGCGAAGAGC